UUUGCUUUCUGGUUCGUUCAAUGUAUAGUAAAAUAUCGCUAUAUAAUUUAUUUCCUCUUAUUUUGUAGCGGGAGUAGCUAUCUUCAUUUUACUAAUCUCAUUUUAUUCAACUCGUGAAGUACAAGGAGUCACAGAGGCAGAAUAAUUCGACGAUUCAUAUAUUUUGUGGCUUAUGAGUUGGCGGUGUGUGUUUUAUUUGGUUAUGAAUUGGGUGAAUAGUAGUUUGAGUGAGUGUCA